GCCAAGCAGCCGCGGUAAUUCCAGCUCCAAUAGCGUAUAUUAAAGUUGUUGUGGUUAAAAAGCUCGUAGUUGGAUCUCAACAGCCUUGAAGCGGUUAACUUUGUAGUUUUACUGCUUUAUAGGCUGUGCUUUUGCUGGAGGUUUAGGGGUGCUCUUGAUCGAGUGUCUCUGGAUGCCAGCAGGUUUACUUUGAAAAAAUUAGAGUGCUCAAAGCAGGCUAAAAUGCCUGAAUAUUCGUGCAUGGAAUAAUAGAAUAGGAUGUCGAUCCUAUUUUGUUGGUUUUCGGGACUCGACAUAAUGAUAAAUAGGGACAGUCGGGGGCAUUUGUAUUCAAACGACAGAGGUGAAAUUCUUGGACCGUUUGAAGACAAACUACUGCGAAAGCAUUUGCCAAGAAUGUUUUCAUUAAUCAAGAACGAAAGUUAGAGGUUCGAAGGCGAUUAGAUACCGCCCUAGUUCUAACCAUAAACGAUGCCAGCUAGCGAUCUGCCUGCGUUUUUACUGUAGACUGGGCAGGAAGCUUCCGGGAAACCAAAGCAUUUGGGUUCCAGGGGAAGUAUGGUUGCAAAGCUGAAACUUAAAGGAAUUGACGGAAGGGCACCACCAGGAGUGGAGCCUGUGGCUUAAUUUGACUCAACACGGGAAAUCUCACCAGGCCCGGACACUGGAAGGAUUGACAGAUUGAUAGCUCUUUCUUGAUUCGGUGGGUGGUGGUGCAUGGCCGUUCUUAGUUGGUGGAGUGAUUUGUCUGGUUAAUUCCGAUAACGAACGAGACUCUGUCCUGCUAAAUAGUUUCUACUUCUCUUUUGAGUAGAAAUUUCUUCUUAGAGGGACUGGUGACUCUUAGUCACACGAGAUUGAGCAAUAACAGGUCUGUGA
rnacentral:rRNA from 1 species